rnacentral:rRNA from 1 species
UGGGGAAUCUUGCACAAUGGGGGAAACCCUGAUGCAGCGACGCCGCGUGAGCGAUGAAGGUUUUCGAAUCGUAAAGCUCUGUCCUAUGGGAAGAUAAUGACGGUACCAUGGGAGGAAGCCCCGGCUAACUACGUGCCAGCAGCCGCGGUAAUACGUAGGGGGCGAGCGUUGUCCGGAAUUACUGGGCGUAAAGGGUUCGCAGGCGGCAUGGCAAGUCCGAUGUAAAAGGCGAAGGCUCAACCUUCGUAAGCAUCGGAAACUGUCAAGCUUGAGUGAAGGAGAGGCAAGAGGAAUUCCUAGUGUAGCGGUGGAAUGCGUAGAUAUUAGGAGGAAUACCGGUGGCGAAGGCGACUUGCUGGACUUCAACUGACGCUGAGGAACGAAAGCGUGGGUAGCAAACAGG